rnacentral:misc_RNA from 1 species
UGGCUUUGGCAUCGAUGAAGAACGCAGCGAAAUGCGAUAAGUAAUGUGAAUUGCAGAAUUCAGCGAAUCAUCGAAUCUUUGAACGCACAUUGCGCCCAUUAGCAUUCUAGUGGGCAUGCCUGUCCGAGCGUCAUUUCGACCCUCAGGCCCGCUCCGGCGCGGCCUGGUGUUGGGGGUUCUACCCCGCGGCGGAGACGCCGCGGGGCCCCCGAAAGCCAUCGGCGGUGCCUGCCAGCACUCCGGGCGCAGUAGACUUACGCCUCGCCCUGGACGUCUGGCGGCUGCUCUUGCCGCUAAACCUCUCCCACCCCUCGCGGGCGGCAGAUCAAAUGGUUGACCUCGGAUCAGGUAGGAAUACCCGCUGA